GACGAACGCUGGCGGCGUGCCUAAUACAUGCAAGUUGAGCGCUGAAGGUUGGUACUUGUACCAACUGGAUGAGCAGCGAACGGGUGAGUAACGCGUGGGGAAUCUGCCUAUGAGCGGGGGACAACAUUUGGAAACGAAUGCUAAUACCGCAUAAAAACUUUAAACACAAGUUUUAAGUUUGAAAGAUGCAAUUGCAUCACUCAAAGAUGAUCCCGCGUUGUAUUAGCUAGUUGGUGAGGUAAAGGCUCACCAAGGCGAUGAUACAUAGCCGACCUGAGAGGGUGAUCGGCCACAUUGGGACUGAGACACGGCCCAAACUCCUACGGGAGGCAGCAGUAGGGAAUCUUCGGCAAUGGACGAAAGUCUGACCGAGCAACGCCGCGUGAGUGAAGAAGGUUUUCGGAUCGUAAAACUCUGUUGGUAGAGAGGAACGUUGGUGAGAGUGGAAAGCUCAUCAAGUGACGGUAACUACCCAGAAAGGGACGGCUAACUACGUG
rnacentral:rRNA from 1 species